AUUGAACGCUGGCGGAAUGCUUUACACAUGCAAGUCGAACGAUGAACCUUAGCUUGCUAAGGGGAUUAGUGGCGAACGGGUGAGUAAUAUAUCGGAACGUGCCUUGUAAUGGGGGAUAACUAGUCGAAAGAUUGGCUAAUACCGCAUACGCCCUGAGGGGGAAAGUAGGGGAUCUUCGGACCUUACGUUAUAAGAGCGGCCGAUAUCUGAUUAGCUAGUUGGUGGGGUAAUGGCCUACCAAGGCGACGAUCAGUAGCUGGUCUGAGAGGACGACCAGCCACACUGGAACUGAGACACGGUCCAGACUCCUACGGGAGGCAGCAGUGGGGAAUUUUGGACAAUGGGCGAAAGCCUGAUCCAGCCAUUCCGCGUGAGUGAAGAAGGCCUUCGGGUUGUAAAGCUCUUUCGCAAGGGAAGAAAACUUACAUUCUAAUAAAGCGUGAGGCUGACGGUACCUUGAUAAGAAGCACCGGCUAACUACGUGCCAGCAGCCGCGGUAAUACGUAGGGUGCGAGCGUUAAUCGGAAUUACUGGGCGUAAAGCGUGCGCAGGCGGUUUGGCAAGUCAGAUGUGAAAUCCCCGAGCUCAACUUGGGAACUGCGUUUGAAACUGCCAGACUAGAAUAUGUCAGAGGGGGGUAGAAUUCCACGUGUAGCAGUGAAAUGCGUAGAGAUGUGGAGGAAUACCAAUGGCGAAGGCAGCCCCCUGGGAUAAUAUUGACGCCCAUGCACGAAAGCGUGGGGAGCAAACAGG
rnacentral:rRNA from 1 species